ACGGGUGAGUAACACGUGGGUAACCUGCCUGUAAGACUGGGAUAACUCCGGGAAACCGGAGCUAAUACCGGAUAGUUCCUUGAACCCGCAUGGUUCAAGGAUGAAAGACGGUUUCGGCUGUCACUUACAGAUGGACCCGCGGCGCAUUAGCUAGUUGGUGAGGUAACGGCUCACCAAGGCGACGAUGCGUAGCCGACCUGAGAGGGUGAUCGGCCACACUGGGACUGAGACACGGCCCAGACUCCUACGGGAGGCAGCAGUAGGGAAUCUUCCGCAAUGGACGAAAGUCUGACGGAGCAACGCCGCGUGAGUGAUGAAGGUUUUCGGAUCGUAAAGCUCUGUUGUUAGGGAAGAACAAGUGCAAGAGUAACUGCUUGCACCUUGACGGUACCUAACCAGAAAGCCACGGCUAACUACGUGCCAGCAGCCGCGGUAAUACGUAGGUGGCAAGCGUUGUCCGGAAUUAUUGGGCGUAAAGGGCUCGCAGGCGGUUUCUUAAGUCUGAUGUGAAAGCCCCCGGCUCAACCGGGGAGGGUCAUUGGAAACUGGGAAACUUGAGUGCAGAAGAGGAGAGUGGAAUUCCACGUGUAGCGGUGAAAUGCGUAGAGAUGUGGAGGAACACCAGUGGCGAAGGCGACUCUCUGGUCUGUAACUGACGCUGAGGAGCGAAAGCGUGGGGAGCGAACAGGAUUAGAUACCCUGGUAGUCCACGCCGUAAACGAUGAGUGCUAAGUGUUAGGGGGUUUCCGCCCCUUAGUGCUGCAGCUAACGCAUUAAGCACUCC
rnacentral:rRNA from 1 species